rnacentral:rRNA from 1 species
UGCAAGAUUAGACGGUCUGACCUGCCCACUGAAAAUUUUAAAUGGCCGCAGUAUACUAACUGUGCAAAGGUAGCAUAAUCAUUAGUUUUUUAAUUGAAAGCUGGUAUGAAUGGUUGGACGAGAUAUUAACUGUUUCAAUUGAAAUUACAUUAGAAUUUUAUUUUUUAGUUAAAAAGCUAAAAUCUGUAUAAAAGACGAGAAGACCCUAUAAAUCUUUAUAUUUUGUUUAUUUUAAUUAAGAAGAAAAAUUUUUUUAAAUUAAAUUAAAAUAUUUUAUUGGGGUGAUAUUAAAAUUUAAUAAACUUUUAAUUAUUUUUAUCAUUAAUUUAUGAAUAAUUGAUCCAAUUUUAUUGAUUAGAAAUUUAAGUUACUUUAGGGAUAACAGCGUAAUUUUUUUGGAGAGUUCUUAUCGAUAAAAAAGAUUGCGACCUCGAUGUUGGAUUAAGAGAUAGAUUUGGGUGUAGCUGUUCAAAUAAUUAAGUCUGUUCGACUUUUAAAUUCUUACGUGAUCUGUUUUCAAGACCGGG